UGGGGAAUUUUGGACAAUGGGGGAAACCCUGAUCCAGCCAUCCCGCGUGUGCGAUGAAGGCCUUCGGGUUGUAAAGCACUUUUGGCAGGAAAGAAACGUCGCGGGUUAAUACCCCGCGAAACUGACGGUACCUGCAGAAUAAGCACCGGCUAACUACGUGCCAGCAGCCGCGGUAAUACGUAGGGUGCAAGCGUUAAUCGGAAUUACUGGGCGUAAAGCGUGCGCAGGCGGUUCGGAAAGAAAGAUGUGAAAUCCCAGAGCUUAACUUUGGAACUGCAUUUUUAACUACCGGGCUAGAGUGUGUCAGAGGGAGGUGGAAUUCCGCGUGUAGCAGUGAAAUGCGUAGAUAUGCGGAGGAACACCGAUGGCGAAGGCAGCCUCCUGGGAUAACACUGACGCUCAUGCACGAAAGCGUGGGGAGCAAACAGGAUUAGAUACCCUGGUAGUCCACGCCCUAAACGAUGUCAACUAGCUGUUGGGGGCCUUCGGGCCUUGGUAGCGCAGCUAACGCGUGAAGUUGACCGCCUGGGGAGUACGGUCGCAAGAUUAAAACUUAAAUGAAUUGACGGGGUCAUAGCUGUUU
rnacentral:rRNA from 1 species